GGCCGCCUGGCGAAAUGGCAUCGCGUCUGACUACGACUUCAUUUGAAUUACAUCUCAGCGUGAUCAGGAGAUUGCAGGUUCGACCCCUGCGGUGGUCA